rnacentral:rRNA from 1 species
GCCGGCGGCGAAAGCACGUUGAAUACAUCAGUUCCCAAUGGUUCACUGAAGUCAACAUUGCGUGUGGUUGGUAUUGGAAUGGGUGACCAUCUGGGCAAUCGCGGGCUUCUGGCU